GGAUUUGCUAUGAAGAGAAGAGUAGGUAAAAGGCUUCUUCACAGAGAGCUCCGUCAGCUGAAAAGGAGUAAGAAGGAUUUUAUUGAACCAAGCCUCUGAGCAUUACAUUGGAACCUUUUUUAGGGGAUGGUGUAACGGGAACUCCCGUUAUAGAGUUAGGGUAUAAGCAUAUGAGUGCCGUACCUGAUAAGGUUAAUAUGGUGACAUAUUAAUAAACUGGGGUGGUACCACGAUUAUAAAAUCUCGUCUCCAAG
rnacentral:ncRNA from 1 species